rnacentral:rRNA from 1 species
UCACGUGCUACAAUGGCAUAUACAAUGAGACGCAAUACCGCGAGGUGGAGCAAAUCUAUAAAAUAUGUCCCAGUUCGGAUUGUUCUCUGCAACUCGAGAGCAUGAAGCC